rnacentral:rRNA from 1 species
UUCCACUCGUGGCGAAAAGCUCAGUAACACGUGGCCAACUACCCUACAGAGAACGAUAACCUCGGGAAACUGAGGCUAAUAGUUCAUACGGGAGUCAUGCUUGAAUGCCGACUCCCCGAAACGCUCCGGCGCUGUAGGAUGUGGCUGCGGCCGAUUAGGUAGACGGUGGGGUAACGGCCCACCGUGCCAAUAAUCGGUACGGGUUGUGAGAGCAAGAACCCGGAGACGGAAUCUGAGACAAGAUUCCGGGCCCUACGGGGCGCAGCAGGCGCGAAACCUUUACACUGCACGCAAGUGCGAUAAGGGGACCCCAAGUGCGAGGGCAUAUAGUCCUCGCUUUUCUCGACUGUAAGGCGGUCGAGGAAUAAGAGCUGGGCAAGACCGGUGCCAGCCGCCGCGGUAAUACCGGCAGCUCAAGUGAUGACCGAUAUUAUUGGGCCUAAAGCGUCCGUAGCCGGCCAUGAAGGUUCAUCGGGAAAUCCGCCAGCUCAACUGGCGGGCGUCCGGUGAAAACCACGUGGCUUGGGACCGGAAGGCUCGAGGGGUACGUCUGGGGUAGGAGUGAAAUCCUGUAAUCCUGGACGGACCACCGAUGGCGAAAGCACCUCGAGAAGACGGAUCCGACGGUGAGGGACGAAAGCUAGGGUCUCGAACCGGAUUAGAUACCCGGGUAGUCCUAGCUGUAAACGAUGCUCGCUAGGUGUGGCACAGGCUACGAGCCUGUGCUGUGCCGUAGGGAAGCCGUGAAGCGAGCCGCCUGGGAAGUACGUCCGCAAGGAUGAAACUUAAAGGAAUUGGCGGGGGAGCACUACAACCGGAGGAGCCUGCGGUUUAAUUGGACUCAACGCCGGACAUCUCACCAGCUCCGA